GACGAAGGGGGCUAGCGUUGUUCGGAAUUACUGGGCGUAAAGCGCGUGUAGGUGGUUGUCCAAGUUGGCUGUGAAAGCCUUGAGCUCAACUCAAGAAAUGCAUUCAGGACUGGGCGACUAGAGGACCGGAGAGGAUAGUGGAAUUCCCGGUGUAGUGGUGAAAUACGUAGAGAUUGGGAAGAACACCAGUGGCGAAGGCGGCUAUCUGGACGGUUUCUGACACUAAGACUCGAAAGCGUGGGGAGCAAACAGG
rnacentral:rRNA from 1 species